rnacentral:lncRNA from 1 species
GGAUUCUGGGUGUGGGAUCUGAGUUGACAUGGAUACCAAGACAGCUGAGAUCCUCUGUGGUCCUCAGGCAGAGUGGGGGCUUGCGGCCGAAAGGACCCAUGGGAUGGUAGUAGGAGAGGAUCCUUUCAUAUCUCUUCCAUGGACUUCCCUGCAAAAUGGUGAUAUAUGAGUAUAGCCUCACAGGAUUGUGGGAUCUAAAUGAGAUGCUCAAGAGAAAAGACCAUAUCACCAUCUUGGCCAGUGAUAAAUGUACACUUGCUUUGUGGCUUAUGAUGAGAAAACAAGCCUCCAAACCAACUAUUGAAAAGCCAGAAAAGUAAGAAAUACUGGGGAAAGAAUCAUCUCAAUUGAUCAGAGCUGUACCACUCCUGCACCCCGAGUUCCCAAUGGGAAGAAGCUGUAUCUCCUUCUAAGCCUUUCCAAACAAGCCUGGUUCGGACAGGCUGUAUCCUUGGCUCUCCAAUCUAAGAAGCUGUUUCCCGUCAGCAUCAGUGCAGAAUGGAACACACUUGGCUUGGGAUUAGGAGCUGGGGGCCCUACGCCUAGUUCUUCCUCAACCAGCUGCAUGGCUUCUGGGAAGCCCCUCACUCCAUCGAGAUUCCCAGCUUUGUUUGCAGCAAGCUCAAGACAAGCCCCUUACCUUAAUGAAAGAGAAAAGUAUUGGGAUUUAAAUUCCUUUGAAAGCUGAAAGACAACAACACCUGCAAAAAUAACUGGUAUUAGUUUUACUUAAAACUGAAGGAUUUUCUUUGACAUGGUAAGUGAACUACACAGUAAGUGUGUUUUCUAUAUACAAAAUUUAUACACAGUAAGUAGUAAAUUUCUACAUUUAUUUUUACUCCCCCCAAAGACCACUUAUCCUUGAAUGAAGAAUGCAAUGAACUAUCUAGAUCCUAUCCUCAGAACCCCUGAAGAAUAUCCAUCCACACACAGUGCUCAGCCUUCCAAUCAGCUACCUAACAGCACAUCCUUUUUUAGACACAGAAAUACUUUUAUCUUCAGAUACAGAAGUACUCAGAUUUCUAAAACUCCUUUUUUAGAUCAUGUAUAAAAUCUCAUAUGGGCUAAACUAUGGGAUUUCCCAGCCUCCACAUGCAAAAAUACCCCCUCAUUAGACUGCCCUGUGCCUAAUGUUCCCCCAUGAUGGAUCCAACCCUUUGCUUGAAGUACUAUCUUUCUAAAGGCAGCUGAUGACAAUGUGGUAGGAGUAAAUUUCUAUUCAUAAAUUUAAACAUGAAACAAAUAUAAUUAUAUUUAUUUUCAACUCAAACUAAAUCCAGUGCCCCUCGAGUCCUGAAAUCUUCCAGGCUGUCCCUCAAUUCUACUGCCUCCUGCCCCUUUCUCUGGGGUCAGGCUGAAGUUCUUGGUUCUUAUUCUAACAAGGGUUAGGUAGGAAUUGGACCUCUAUUGACAGGUGUCCACCUCAUUUGCCUGAUCCAGUCUCCUGAUGGCUCAAUAUCCUCCCUAAGGUAAGUGGUGCUAUGAUGGGCAUCUUGACACGUGUCCGUGAGUCCCACUGAGGUUCUCUGCCAUUCAAGAGUGGAUGGCUAGGUCCUAGGGUACUUGUGUACCCAAUCUUAUGCUGCAGAGCAGCAUGGAUCACUAAGACCACAGGUCUAACAUGAUGUUUCCUGAGCCCUGGUCUCACCAACAUUUGACAUUGUGCAGCUCCCCAAAAUUCAUCACCUUGAUGGCAGGGUGCAUCUGAUUUUGGUUUUAAUUUUCCUUCCAGUGACAUCAGUGAUGUCAAGGGUCUCUUCAUGAAUUUAUUGUCCAAUAAAUUCCCUCUUCUGUGAAUUGCCUGUUCACAUCUUUUGCUCAUUUUUCUAUGUGUUCUUUUUUUUUU